rnacentral:sRNA from 1 species
ACCCCUGCCAGCGGCACCAUGGCUUUCCUCUGGCUGCUCUCCUGCUGGGCCCUCCUGGGCACUGCCUUCGGUGAGUGUCAGGCCCUGCGGAGGCCGAAGGGUUGUCUCCUCUCACUCCCAGCCCCGAGGCCAGCAAGGGGCAGCAGGGCCCCAGCUCCCAGUUCAGCUGUGCACCGCAGUGUGGGCCUGGGCGAGUCACCGGCUCCAUCUCUGCCGUGGGCACUGCGAGGCCUGGACCAGGUCAUAGCCUCCCUCCCAGGCUCAGCUGCCGCCUCCGAGCUUGGGAGCUGGGGAGUCCCUCUCCCCUUCCUCACCCCCAGCCGACCUGAGGCUCCCAAGGGAGGAGGCAGGUGUCCGGGGGCUGCCCUGAGGCCUUCAGGAAACUCCCAAACAGUCAGUGGCCCCAGCACUGGGCAGUGGCAGCUGGGGCUUGGCGCCAUUCAGUCCAAACCUUUCAGAACCUCAAGCCUCACUCACCCUCUUAAACUCCUGCUCACGGAGCACUUCCCGGGUGCCAGGCACAGAGCUGGUGCUCUGCCUGCUCACUCUACCAAACCUGUGAGGUCAGAAACGGCGUGAUCCCCACUUUGCUGAUGGGGACACUGAGUGGCUUAGCUGGGCAGGGAGGGAACCAGGUUCAAACCCACAGAGUCUGGCCUCCCAGCCUGAGCGCUGGGGCUGCUGCCCACCGCACACUCCACCUGUGUGACUUCUCUGAACUGAGGUGGGACCAACACCCCAUUCCUCAGCAGCCCACGGCCCAGUUCAUUGGACUCAGUUGUACCCGGGGAUUCCAGCACUGGGGAGAGGAGAGCCAGGGCCAACUUCUCAGAGGAGGGGAUGUGGGAGCCAGUCUAGGUCCCAGAGACUGGAAAAGAGUUGGGAGUGAGAGGAGGCUGGAGCAUUGGGACCCAGUGGGUGGGGUCCCAAUGGCGGGGACCCCUCAGCCCACUCCCCACCCCAGGCUGCGGAGUCCCCACCAUCCACCCUGUGCUCAGCGGCCUGUCCAGGAUCGUGAAUGGGGAGGACGCCAUCCCCGGCUCCUGGCCCUGGCAGGUGUCCCUGCAGGACAAAACCGGCUUCCACUUCUGCGGAGGCUCCCUCAUCAGCGAGGACUGGGUGGUCACCGCCGCCCACUGCGGGGUCAGGUGAGGACCAGGCAGCCCCGGGCUCCGCUUCCAGCCCCGGUCGGGUGGGAGGGGAGCAGGGCAUGUUCUCUCACUCACAACGCUCUGCCCAGGACCUCCGACGUUGUCGUGGCCGGGGAGUUUGACCAGGGCUCUGACAAAGAGAACAUCCAGGUCCUGAAGAUCGCCAAGGUCUUCAAGAACCCCAAGUUCAGCAUUCUGACCGUGAACAAUGACAUCACCCUGCUGAAGCUGGCCACACCUGCCCGCUUCUCCCAGACGGUGUCCGCCGUGUGCCUGCCCAGUGCCGACGACGACUUCCCCGCGGGGACACUGUGUGCCACCACAGGCUGGGGCAAGACCAAGUACAACGGUGAGGGGCCACGGGGCUGCCUCCAGGGUCGGGGCUGCCUGGCCAUAGAGUCCCCCCGUGACCAUUUGGCUCUUCUUGUUUGGCUCUAAAUUCCAACAUGCUCCUAACUGUCCGUUCGUUAUUGAAAAUCCUCUGAAUUUAAAAUCCCCCAAAUGCAAAUAAAAUCCAAGUCGGAUCAUGAGGAGCCUGCACAGGAAGCUUCUGAGCAGCGCCCGGCUGGGUGAGCCCUGCCCUGGUUGACCUGCCUGGAGUCGCAGUGCGGGGCUCCCACCCGGGCAGGGCCGAGGCCCCCUUGUCCCACAGGCGCUUCUGAGGCUCCAGGGGCCGGACCCAACAUCGUGGUGAUGGUGCAGGGGAGGGCAGGCGUGUCAGCCCCGGGUCUCUCCCUCCUCUCUUGGCUGAGUGAGCCCAGGGGCCCUGACCCUCCUCCUGUCCUAUAGCCAACAAGACCCCCGAUAAGCUGCAGCAGGCGACCCUGCCCCUCCUGUCCAAUGCCGAAUGCAAGAAGUUCUGGGGCAGAAAGAUCACCGACGUGAUGAUCUGUGCCGGGGCCAGUGGCGUCUCCUCCUGUAUG